CAUUUGCAGGCUAAUCGGGCUGGUUCUGAAAAGCUGUUCCUGAACCAUGCCUCGCUUAUCGUAGGGACAAGGGGGCUUUAUUUUCGUGUGUCCAGUUCGUGCGCUGCAGCAAAAUGGCCCUUCAGUCUCAUUUUGAGGGGUUCUCGGCAGGGUUCAAUUGCUUUAGCGCUGAAAAAAAAAAAUCCAGAAGGGAAAAAAGAAAAGAGCGAUGCCCUCCCUCCCCCAUUAAUUAUUUGUGGGGUUGGAGUAGCGCGGGCUGGUGCAACCGGUGCAUAUAAGGACUUGUGUGGAGGGAAGAGGAUCCGCCUCCAGCCGCGGAACAAAUCGGGGAGACGCGCACUCUCGCAGGGCGCCCAGCCCCGGGCUUCUCCAAAUUGCAACUGCCGCUGGGUCGAGACCGCCAGGGCCCCCGGGAUCCCGGAGGGCAGUUAUCGAGGGCAGGUCACUCGCCGCCUCAGGGUUAGGAAGGUUUGCCAGAAGCGGGAAAGCUAGCAGAUCUGAGCUUCCUUUGGGCCUCGCCACACCCAGAACCUACCCAUGCCGCAAUUCCCGCACGGAAACGACCGAAUUGAAACGAGAAUUUUUCUCCGGGUGCAGUGACUUGACUGCUUCAGAUUAAUGUGUUGUCUCAGUGUGGAAAGAAAAUAAUUAAGAUCCAGGUAUUGAGAUCUGUGAACAGAACUAUUUUUAAAACUCCAAGCAUGAAAAAUGAGGAAACAUAAGUCACUGCUGUGGAUGGAAAGCUAACCACACUUGCUUAAAAAAGAAAAAAGAAAAAGAAAGAAAUCAUUAAAAGAAAUACAAUGACAUAAGCAUAUCAUACAACAUUAACUAAGGAAGAGUGAAGAGCAGUCUGGUGGGGGUUACAAGAAUGGUUUCCCCCUCAAACUACAACAAAGAAAAGAAGGAAGCAAGAAAAGAGAAGAGAGCCAGGAAAAGCUUCCUGCCUGAGAUUGUUAGAGCUGUUCCUUGGGUUUUCUGCCCAUUGGUAUCCAAAGGGUGAAAGGAGUCUGAAAUUAGAACCAUAGAAGGCACUUUCACAGAAACCUGGAAGUGAAGAAAAAUGGCAACAGACUGAAAACUGUUAGUCAUCAUUCGUACCAAUCAUGGCACCCCAACCAAAAGUGUCGUCAGAAGAAAAUGGCCAACCCAGUGGUCUGAGGAGGAGGAGGAGAGAUCCAUGAAGCACAUGUGGAUGUAUAUUCAACCUAUAGCACCUGACCCCCAGCCCACCACCAGAUGUGCAAACAAGAGUAAGUUUAAAGCUCCUGGAUUUUGAAGCUCUCAAGCAGCAUCAUUGUGACAAUAGGUUACUAUUUUACAGGGUUAGUUGAAAGAGAGGCUUAAAGAACAUUAAUCUACAGAUUGUUGGAUUUUCGUUUUCAUGAUUACUCUUGUAAGGAUAAUAACAAAUUAAGUUUUCUACAUAAAUAUGAGCAUGCCCCAUAUCUAAAACUGAUGGACCAUUUGAGAAUGAACAAAACGAUUUCUGUGUAGAUUUAUAUAGGAUGGGUUUGGGGGAGAAGUGCACCCAUGUUUUUAUUUAGAUAAUUAAUUCUACAGCCCACUCUGUACAAACUUCUUACCUCUUCCCUCACCAGAUGACAGAGAACUGGGGAUGAGAGCCCUUGUCAGUUUUCUGUUUUUCUAUAGAAAGUCAUCUCUUUACAAAUCUAGCUGGGGUUUGUGCAGCAUGAAUUGCUAUUUGCCAGCCUUGUGGAUUAACCCUGGGGGCACCCCUAAGAGCUGUCAGAGGCUUUGCCUUAAUGCAAAAGGGUGUUGGAACCACACAGGAAGCCCAGGAAUCCUUAAUUUAGUUGAUUAGACACAGAAAUUGAGACAAAGCUUGGGGCCAGAUCUAGCUUAGAACUUUAAACAUUCUUAAUUGCUUGUGAGGCCAGCAUCAUGCUAGCCCAUCUUCUUAACCCCAUCUUGGGUAACUGGGGGUUCUAGGGCUGAAAGUCUAGGCUAGAGAUCAGGGACCUGGGGUUAGAUAUGAGGUUGGAGUGGCAGAGGCAUUAAGCAAGGACCAAUCCUGAGCACCAAUGUGAAAGGACUGGACAGAAGGACACUAAAACCAUUAAGAGCAAUAUAGUGUAUAGUUAGAACCAGACUGGACUGGAGAGCAGGAAGGACCAGGGUCUGAAGAGAUGCUCUGGGCCUCUCUGCAUGGCUGGAAGGAUUUUGGUAAGUCCUCCUAGCUUGGUUUGGGUAGGACUCCAAGCUAGUUUGGAGGCAGGCUCAGUGAGAAACAGAGGAGAGAAACUGUCUGGUCUCAGCCUGCCAAUCAUGAGUAGCAGCAAUAAUCCGCCCCAAUUCACACUGACUUUCUUCUCCAAAAUCUUAUUCUGUUUGAACAAGAUUAGUUAUGAAGAGAGAAAUGGGAGGCGGGGCGGAGCUGGACUACCUAGUAUCUUAGAGGUUUUUGUUUUGUUGGG